GCCGGGCGUGGCGGCGUGUGCCUGUCGUCCCAGCUGCUGGGGAGGCUGAGGCAGGAGAAUGGCGUGAACCCGGGAGGCGGAGCUUGCACUGAGCCGAGAUUGCACCACUGCACUCCAGCCUGGGCGACAGAGUGAGACUCUGUCUCAAACAAAACAAAACAAACAAAAAAAGUUUUAUUUUUAUUUAUUAUUUUUUGAGACGGAGUCUCGCUCUGUCUCCCAGGCUGGAGUGCAGUGACGCGAUCUCGGCUCACUGCAAUCUCCGCCUCCCGGGUUCACGCCAUUCUCCUGCCUCAG
rnacentral:SRP_RNA from 1 species